GGAUGGCCUCAGUGGUGAGGGAUGAGGGGAUGUUCCCUGGGAUGUGGAAUGGCCUGGGUGGUGUGGGGUGAAGAGUUGCUUUGCAGGUUUCGGGAUAGCCAGCAGGGUUUUGGGGUGAUGACAGGCUGCACUCUGGGAUGUAGGAUGGUCCACAUGGCCUGUGUGUGGAUGAGUUGGACCCAGAAGUCCAGGGAUGGGUGUGGGAUGAGCCUCUGGGCUCUCAGCCUGCCGUGUGGCUAUGUCUCUGCAGGGGUCGGUUUGGCCAGGUCCACAGGUGCACAGAGAAGUCCACAGGCCUCCCACUGGCUGCCAAGAUCAUCAAAGUGAAGAGCGCCAAGGACCGGGAGGACGUGAAGAACGAGAUCAACAUCAUGAACCAGCUCAGCCACGUGAACCUGAUCCAGCUCUAUGACGCCUUCGAGAGCAAGCACAGCUGCACCCUUGUCAUGGAGUACGUGGACGGGGGUGAGCUCUUCGACCGGAUCACAGAUGAGAAGUACCACCUGACUGAGCUGGAUGUGGUCCUGUUCACCAGGCAGAUCUGUGAGGGUGUGCAUUACCUGCACCAGCACUACAUCCUGCACCUGGACCUCA
rnacentral:lncRNA from 1 species